rnacentral:lncRNA from 1 species
CUGCCAAGGCUGGCCCCUGCCAAACCAAUCUAAAUAUCACAGCUGAGGUGGCCACAGCAGCCGGACACAGCACCGCAACAGUGUUAACUCCAUUAUGUAUUUGUAUCUCCAGAAGGCCAGUCCAACAAAAUCUCCAACAAAAUUGCCACUUAAUAGAAGAAACGCGCACUUUGGAGGACUGUGGGUGAGCGCGCCCUCUACUGGUGAUCAGAGGAAGUGCUUUUUACUGGGUUUCCUGUAGCUGAUGCCAAGACCCACCACGAUAGCCCAUGCUGCAAUUUCUACAAUUAAUACCAGUCAGCUUAAAAAAAAAAACCUAAAGGGAAGGAAACUUCAAUAAGUUGGAAUGGAAUCUGCUUAGGCAAACAUGGUAUUGACACUUACAGAAGAACAGAAGGGGAAAAAGGAGCGAGAAAGAAGUAUUAGGUGUAACGAGAACAAAGGGUAGACUGUAGCGUAAAUUGCUCGCUGGGCAAGACACACUUGCUAAAAAUAAAACUGCCUGGAGAGGACA